AGCGAACGCUGGCGGCAGGCCUAACACAUGCAAGUCGAACGAACUCUUCGGAGUUAGUGGCGGACGGGUGAGUAACACGUGGGAACGUGCCUUUUGGUUCGGAAUAACUCAGGGAAACUUGUGCUAAUACCGAAUGUGCCCUUCGGGGGAAAGAUUUAUCGCCAUUAGAGCGGCCCGCGUCUGAUUAGCUAGUUGGUGAGGUAACGGCUCACCAAGGCGACGAUCAGUAGCUGGUCUGAGAGGAUGACCAGCCACACUGGGACUGAGACACGGCCCAGACUCCUACGGGAGGCAGCAGUGGGGAAUCUUGCGCAAUGGGCGAAAGCCUGACGCAGCCAUGCCGUGUGAAUGAUGAAGGUCUUAGGGUUGUAAAAUUCUUUCACCGGGGACGAUAAUGACGGUACCCGGAGAAGAGGCCCCGGCUAACUUCGUG
rnacentral:rRNA from 1 species